GGCCACGUAGCCAAGUAGUAAGGCGUCUCUCUGCAAAAGAGAUAUACGUGGGUGCAAUUCCCACCGUGGCCU
rnacentral:tRNA from 1 species